rnacentral:hammerhead_ribozyme from 1 species
AGGCGAAACCCCUUCGGGGGUCGGCGUGGGAUGGCUGCCCACGCCCUGACGAGCCAAGCCGCAA